rnacentral:rRNA from 1 species
ACCCCACUAUGCUUAGCCAUAAAAUAUUAACCCACACUCAACCCGCCAGGGAAUUACAAGCCCAAGCUUAAAACCCAAAGGACUUGACGGUGUCCCAUCCCCCUAGAGGAGCCUGUUCUAUAAUCGAUUCUCCCCGAUCUACCUUGCCGUCUCUUGAAUAUCCAGUCUGUAUACCUCCGUCGCAAGCUUACCAUGUGAACGCAUAGUGAGCCCAAAGAUCCAUCACCCAUACGUCAGGUCAAGGUGCAGCCCACGGAACGGAAAGAAAUGGGCUACAAUCUCUACCAUAGAACAAACGGAAAGCUGUAUGAAAUACAGUCAUUGAAGGCGGAUUUAGUAGUAAAAAGAAAAUAGAGAGUUCUUUUUAACUAGGCACUGGGACGCGUACACACCGCCCGUCACCCUCUUCAAAUAGAAGGCUUAAAAGUCACUAACACCCCCCACAAUUACAUAGAAGAGGCAAGUCGUAACAUGGUAAGUGUACUGGAAAGUGCACUUGGAAUAACAAAAUGUAACUUAAUAAAAGUAUCCUGCUUACACCAAGACUAUGUCUGUGAAACCCCGACCAUUUUGAGCCUAAACCCCAGCCCUAAAAACCCAUAUGAAAAUUUUUUCCCCUCCCCCCAAAUAAAACAUUCUCUCAACCAAGUAAAGGCGAUUAAAAAGUUACUAGGAGCCCCAACACCAGUACCGCAAGGGAAAGGUGAAAUAAAAAUGAAAUAAAUUUAAAGCACUACAAAGUAGAGACUCCCCCUUGUACCUUUUG